GAUGAACGCUGGCGGCGUGCCUAAUACAUGCAAGUCGAGCGAACAGACGAGGAGCUUGCUCCUCUGACGUUAGCGGCGGACGGGUGAGUAACACGUGGAUAACCUACCUAUAAGACUGGGAUAACUUCGGGAAACCGGAGCUAAUACCGGAUAAUAUAUUGAACCGCAUGGUUCAAUAGGGAAAGACGGUUUUGCUGUCACUUAUAGAUGGAUCCGCGCCGCAUUAGCUAGUUGGUAAGGUAACGGCUUACCAAGGCAACGAUGCGUAGCCGACCUGAGAGGGUGAUCGGCCACACUGGAACUGAGACACGGUCCAGACUCCUACGGGAGGCAGCAGUAGGGAAUCUUCCGCAAUGGGCGAAAGCUUGACGGAGCAACGCCGCGUGAGUGAUGAAGGUCUUCGGAUCGUAAAACUCUGUUAUUAGGGAAGACCAAAUGUGUAAGUAACUAUGCACGUCUUGACGGUACCUAAUCAGAAAGCCACGGCUAACUACGUG
rnacentral:rRNA from 1 species